rnacentral:rRNA from 1 species
GUGGGGAAUAUUGGACAAUGGGCGCAAGCCUGAUCCAGCCAUGCCGCGUGUGUGAAGAAGGCCUUCGGGUUGUAAAGCACUUUCAGCGAGGAGGAAGGGUUAGUCGUUAAUAGCGGCUAAUUUUGACGUUACUCGCAGAAGAAGCACCGGCUAACUCUGUGCCAGCAGCCGCGGUAAUACAGAGGGUGCAAGCGUUAAUCGGAAUUACUGGGCGUAAAGCGCACGUAGGCGGUUUUUUAAGUCAGAUGUGAAAGCCCCGGGCUCAACCUGGGAAUUGCAUUUGAAACUGGGGAACUAGAGUGUGUGAGAGGGGGGUAGAAUUCCAAGUGUAGCGGUGAAAUGCGUAGAGAUUUGGAGGAAUACCAGUGGCGAAGGCGGCCCCCUGGCACAACACUGACGCUCAGGUGCGAAAGCGUGGGGAGCAAACAGG